GAUAAACGCUGGCGGCGCACAUAAGACAUGCAAGUUGAACGGACUUAAUCGAAAUAUUUAUAGUUGGAAGCGGUUAGUGGCGGACUGGUGAGUAACGCGUAAGGAACCUGCCUAUUAGAGGGGAAUAACAGUGAGAAAUCAUUGCUAAUACCGCAUAUGCCAUAGAUAUCACAGGAUAACAGUGGGAAAGGAGCAAUCCGCUAAUAGAUGGCCUUGCGUCUGAUUAGCUAGUUGGUGGGGUAACGGCCUACCAAGUCGACGAUCAGUAGCCGGACUGAGAGGCUGGCCGGCCACAUUGGGAAUGAGUUACGGCCCAGACUCCUACGCGAGGCAGCAGUCGGGAAUAUUGAGCCAUGGAGGCAAUCCCGACGCAGCCAGGCCGCGUAGAGAAAGAAGGUUUUCGGACUGUAAACUAUUGUCGUUAGGGAAGAGAAAGGCCAGUAACUAAGGAGGAAGCUCCGGCUAACUACGUG
rnacentral:rRNA from 1 species